UGAGUUUGAUUAUUACUAAUUUUGUUAAUGACUUUGGGUACAUGUAUUCCUGCUUUAUCUUCUUGACAAACAGUUUGAAUAAUUUGUGUGCUCAUGGGUUGUUGCUAUGUUAUUUUCUAAUUAUUGCCAUAUUAAAUAUUAUGUUGCAAUUGUUUUAAGCCUUGGAUGGAUUCAAUUGUACUUUGAAUUUUGAUGAGUAUAUGUUAUUAGUAUUUUAUCAUUCUUAUUAUUGCUAUCUUUAACUGUGUAUUG
rnacentral:lncRNA from 1 species